GCCAGAGUGAGGUCCGUCAGCUCUCCUGGGCAGAGUCAGGGCUGUCUAAGGGACUGGCUAUGCAUAGCCCCCGGUAGGUUACACUGGCUCAAGUUCAGGGGUUUUCCACCUGUUAUCUCUGUGAUUACAGGCAGGUUACUAAAGAAAACUCCUGUUCUACAAACGGGGAACUUGAAGCUGAACUCGGGCAGAGGGCCCCGGUGCAAAGCGACACUCUCCCCACUCUUCUGACAAGUCCCCACACAGCCAUGUUGCCCUGUCUCUCAGUAGAGGACAUCAGGAGGUCUCUCGCUGUGACAGUGGGGCCACCACAAAGCAAAACCCUUUCUUCCCUUCCCUGCAUUCUCCUGGUGCUCUAGAAGAAACAAUUAAACCUCUUUGCUGGUGAGAGUGAAAAGUCACAUCCACUUUGGAAACCUGUGUGUUGGUUUAUUAUAAAAUGAGACACACAUUUACCAGAAAAC
rnacentral:lncRNA from 1 species